UGCAGCCAAACUCAUCUUACACACUGUAGCAGAGCUGGUUUGCAAUUGUUCAUCCCAAAGUAUCUUUUACUGUAGCUUCUUUUUCCUUUGAACAAAAAUCUAACAAAGGCUCAUUAUUGUCAAUAAUUUUUUGUUUGAAACCUACCUUCAUUGUGUUUUCUUGUUCUACAGAGAGAACACUUCAGAGCGAUUUUCACAGAAUCAUCCUGUAAAUUAUGAUUGCAACUUUUGUUUAGGUGUGAAAAGGAUCCAAAAAAUUGCAAUCAAUCGGGCAACUCAGGGAAAGCUGCUGUAACUUUGGAAAUGUUCCUUUCUUUGCUAAUGGGAUUCCAUCACACCCCAAGAGCACACUUCCAUUUCUUUGACCAUUCCAAUUCAUGUAUAUUUUGCAAGUCUUUUGGAGUUUUUAUUUACUUCUUGUAUAAAUGAAUAGUACAAUUAGGCUCGAAGUAGUCUAUGUCUCAACGACUGAUAGGGAUAGUUUGUAUAAUUUAAUUAGAGAUACAGGGAAGUUCAAAAUUAGGGGAAGAGAGUACUGAUUAUGGAUCAGCGGUGAAAAUGCACUUUGAAGUAGAGGUCAGGGCAACAGAUUGGAGCUUAAGUCUCCUGUUGGUAUUUCUUCUUCAGAUCAUCAUCAGGUGAUUGAUCAUAUGCAUAUAUGAGUAUUGAACAGAUGAUCAUUCAAAAUUUUAUGUGCUCUUGUAAUUAGUUUGCAAAAUAUACUUCAUCAUGACCUUUAAUAAUUUUUAUAUUCGUAACUGAUGUAUUACCUUCACUAGACUCAGUUAAAUGCAUGAAAUUGCAAGCAAUAUCAUCAGCUGGCUUGAAAAAGUGGUAAGGUAUUUACUAUACAUUCACAUUUUUGCAAUAUGCUUUAACCGAAGAUGCUUUUUUGGAAAUAUGUUUUCGAAACUUACGAAUUAUCAUAUUAAGGAAGGCCUUUGUAUCGUGCCCCUACUAUUCUUUUAUAAUAUUUCAUAUUAAAAAUUACAAUGGAAUUGCUUGGCAGAUCUACUACAUAAUUCAAGUUGUAGAUUUACUUUUUCUAUUUUCCUCUUACAAGACAAGAUGGAUUAUGUUUAAAUCUUUUUAUGUUUUAAAUUGCUAUUCUGUAACCUUACAAUUAGUUGGAUAUUGCACUCAUUGACUGCAAAACUUGGAUAUAUUAUUCAUUUGAAAACCAGCCAUUUCACUGCACAAUUUCACUCGGACUUCCUGUUCUCCAAACUUACAUCUCCUGAAGUUUUCACCUUGCCAACAAACACAAAAGGUUGCUGAUAACCUUUUAUUAUUCUUAUUUUUCUAAAAUUUAUGAAACUGUAAACUUCAUACUUUCCACACAUAUAUCAUAUGAAUAAAAUGAACAGGCUAUAGAAAGAACUUAACCACCAAUUAUGGAACUUACCCACACUUCCACACUAUUUACACUUUCAUACUCCACACACCCAUGCAUUUCGUACAACAAUUACACAAUGAAGAAUUAGGAAAGAAGGAGAGCGUUCGAACCCCUUUGAAGAUUAGUAAAUGAAAGAAAUUCUUGUAUAUUUUGUACAGCAGAAAUGAAGUUGUGUUUCUAAACAAUAAAGCCUUUAAUCAAUUUGUAGCUCUGCAUUAGUUUACGAGUUCCGAAUUUCUAAACUCCCUUUAUUUGUUGGGAGUAAAAUCUUUCAAUGAUAUGUAUGGUCUGAUUUUUUCUCAUUUUGGCUAAUCAGUGAUAGAGAUGAAAACAAAUAUU